rnacentral:rRNA from 1 species
GGCUACCAUGCAAGUCGAGGGGCAGCAUUUCAGUUUGCUUGCAAACUGGAGAUGGCGACCGGCGCACGGGUGAGUAACACGUAUCCAACCUGCCGAUAACUCGGGGAUAGCCUUUCGAAAGAAAGAUUAAUACCCGAUGGNAUAAUCAGACCGCAUGGUCUUAUUAUUAAAGAAUUUCGGUUAUCGAUGGGGAUGCGUUCCAUUAGGCAGUUGGUGAGGUAACGGCUCACCAAACCUUCGAUGGAUAGGGGUUCUGAGAGGAAGGUCCCCCACAUUGGAACUGAGACACGGUCCAAACUCCUACGGGAGGCAGCAGUGAGGAAUAUUGGUCAAUGGGCGCAGGCCUGAACCAGCCAAGUAGCGUGAAGGAUGACUGCCCUAUGGGUUGUAAACUUCUUUUAUAUGGGAAUAAAGUUUUCCACGUGUGGAAUUUUGUAUGUACCAUAUGAAUAAGGAUCGGCUAACUCCGUGCCAGCAGCCGCGGUAAUACGGAGGAUCCGAGCGUUAUCCGGAUUUAUUGGGUUUAAAGGGAGCGUAGGUGGACAGUUAAGUCAGUUGUGAAAGUUUGCGGCUCAACCGUAAAAUUGCAGUUGAUACUGGCUGUCUUGAGUACAGUAGAGGUGGGCGGAAUUCGUGGUGUAGCGGUGAAAUGCUUAGAUAUCACGAAGAACUCCGAUUGCGAAGGCAGCUCACUGGACUGCAACUGACACUGAUGCUCGAAAGUGUGGGUAUCAAACAGGAUUAGAUACCCUGGUAGUCCACACAGUAAACGAUGAAUACUCGCUGUUUGCGAUAUACAGUAAGCGGCCAAGCGAAAGCAUUAAGUAUUCCACCUGGGGAGUACGCCGGCAACGGUGAAACUCAAAGGAAUUGACGGGGGCCCGCACAAGCGGAGGAACAUGUGGUUUAAUUCGAUGAUACGCGAGGAACCUUACCCGGGCUUAAAUUGCAUUUGAAUANUNUGGAAACAGNNUAGCCGNAAGGCAAAUGUGAAGGUGCUGCAUGGUUGUCGUCAGCUCGUGCCGUGAGGUGUCGGCUUAAGUGCCAUAACGAGCGCAACCCUUAUCUUUAGUUACUAACAGGUCAUGCUGAGGACUCUAGAGAGACUGCCGUCGUAAGAUGUGAGGAAGGUGGGGAUGACGUCAAAUCAGCACGGCCCUUACGUCCGGGGCUACACACGUGUUACAAUGGGGGGUACAGAAGGCAGCUACCUGGUGACAGGAUGCUAAUCCCAAAAGCCUCUCUCAGUUCGGAUCGAAGUCUGCAACCCGACUUCGUGAAGCUGGAUUCGCUAGUAAUCGCGCAUCAGCCAUGGCGCGGUGAAUACGUUCCCGGGCCUUGUACACACCGCCCGUCAAGCCAUGAAAGCCGGGGGUACCUGAAGUACGUAACCGCAAGAGCUCCUAG